rnacentral:lncRNA from 1 species
CCUAAACUAUGUCAUUUAGUUCAAUUUACCCUUUAACAGAAUUUGUCUUUUUUUCUCCAUGCACAAGUGGAGUGUUAAGUUCAAUUUUUUUAAUAUGAUAGAAGACAUCAUGAGACAUGUUUACAAAAUAUAUCAUGAUUUUUUACCAUUAUUUUGAUAGGGUACGAUAUUUAAUAACAAAUUUAUCCUUGAGAUACAAAAUUAUAUUAAAAACUAAUGAUAAAAAAUUCAUAAAAUAUGUUUUAAUAUAGAUUGUGAUGUCCACUACCACCCUGCAAAGUUUCAAAUUAAAAUUCAACUUGGUAUGGAGAAAUAAAAAAUGAUAAAUUAUAUUAUGGAGUAAGUCGAACCAAAUAGCAUAAUUUAG